rnacentral:tRNA from 1 species
GAGAUCGAUCCCGAAGUGGACGAGGGGCCGGGUCGUGAUCCCGGUGCAAGUGGGUUCGAGUCCCACCGAUCUCCCCA